rnacentral:ncRNA from 1 species
GUAAAGACGAGGAAAAGAAAUAGUAAUUAAAUCUCUUGGCUAUAGAGAAUCGGUGGUGGUGGAAAUCCGAUGCCAAUGUUUAAUGAAGACAUCUUUGAGUCGAUGAGCUGAAACUUAAGUAGGUUCAUUCGCUAAAUGCGUUAUCUAUUUUGAGUGAGGAAUUACCUAAUUAGGGUGGUACCGCGAGAUAUGGCCUCUCGUCCCUGUA